UACGGGGGGGGCUAGCGUUGUUCGGAAUUACUGGGCGUAAAGGGCUCGUAGGCGGCCAACUAAGUCAGACGUGAAAUCCCUCGGCUUAACCGGGGAACUGCGUCUGAUACUGGAUGGCUUGAAUCCGGGAGAGGGAUGCGGAAUUCCAGGUGUAGCGGUGAAAUGCGUAGAUAUCUGGAGGAACACCGGUGGCGAAGGCGGCAUCCUGGACCGGCAUUGACGCUGAGGAGCGAAAGCUAGGGGAGCAAACGGG
rnacentral:rRNA from 1 species